rnacentral:rRNA from 1 species
GGAUCCUCUGCGUCCUAUACUGCAGUCGAACGGUGAAGCCAAGCUUGCUUGGUGGAUCAGUGGCGAACGGGUGAGUAACACGUGAGCAACCUGCCCUGGACUCUGGGAUAAGCGCUGGAAACGGUGUCUAAUACUGGAUAUGAGACGUGAUCGCAUGGUCGUGUUUGGAAAGAUUUUUCGGUCUGGGAUGGGCUCGCGGCCUAUCAGCUUGUUGGUGAGGUAAUGGCUCACCAAGGCGUCGACGGGUAGCCGGCCUGAGAGGGUGACCGGCCACACUGGGACUGAGACACGGCCCAGACUCCUACGGGAGGCAGCAGUGGGGAAUAUUGCACAAUGGGCGAAAGCCUGAUGCAGCAACGCCGCGUGAGGGAUGACGGCCUUCGGGUUGUAAACCUCUUUUAGCAGGGAAGAAGCGAAAGUGACGGUACCUGCAGAAAAAGCGCCGGCUAACUACGUGCCAGCAGCCGCGGUAAUACGUAGGGCGCAAGCGUUAUCCGGAAUUAUUGGGCGUAAAGAGCUCGUAGGCGGUUUGUCGCGUCUGCUGUGAAAUCCCGAGGCUCAACCUCGGGCCUGCAGUGGGUACGGGCAGACUAGAGUGCGGUAGGGGGAGAUUGGAAUUCCUGGUGUAGCGGUGGAAUGCGCAGAUAUCAGGAGGAACACCGAUGGCGAAGGCAGAUCUCUGGGCCGUAACUGACGCUGAGGAGCGAAAGGGUGGGGAGCAAACAGGCUUAGAUACCCUGGUAGUCCACCCCGUAAACGUUGGGAACUAGUUGUGGGGACCAUUCCACGGUUUCCGUGAC